UACAAGUAGCAGACCUACAUAAUUUGAAUUGUUUUCGUGACUUCGUGGGUCAAUAGUAGGCUGCGGUUUUAGGAUCUGGCAGUAGCCAGAUCUGUUUGUGCUUAUGCCCGAAGGUAAAAUCUGGCGAUUUGGGUGACUAAACGGAAGUCUGCGAAGGAAUUAAUCUUUUAAGCUUCCAAUGUCAAAUAUAGUUCAACCUUAUGCUGUCAACUCUGCAUAUGAAGUAGUAUUUGCUUGGAGAGCAGCAUUGCUUAGCAAAGUGUGUGUGUGUGUUUUGCUUGCUGGGUCAGAGUAGUAGGUGGAGUAUUUUGCUAGGGAGAGCAGCAUUGCUUAGCAAAGUGUGUGUGUGUUUUGCUUGCUGGGUCAGAGUAGUAGGUGGAGUAUUUUGCUAGAUCAUAUCAUCAAUCAGUCAAUAAUAUAAUGUGUCUGUGUAUGUAUGUAACUAAGAUUCGAUUCCAACUCCCAAGAUAUUAUUACACGGAGUUAAGAACCUGGAUCAUAUGCAGUGUUAUAUUAUAGAAACUUGUCAAAGCCAUCAGGAUAUUACUGUUGUUUAUGGAUGAAUAGUGGCAGCAAAGAAGCUUGAUAGAAAUUGUUUUUUAAAAAUGAAUAGUGGCAGCAAGUGUGAAGAUGGUGGUAGCCUGCUUGGUCCAUUUGUAUCCCUGCUUAUCUCAAAUGAAUAGUGGCAGCAAGUCUGAACAUUCAAAUGCUAUUUGGUACUAGAAGUGAAAAUAGUACAGAUGUUUUGUUGCUUGGAUAACAUGUUAGUGUGUUUGUAUAAAUGAUAGAUGAGAUAAAAAUAUGGCCAUGCUCAUGUUCUACCUUCAUGUGCACCAUUGCUAAUAUCCUGAUGACUUGCCCUAUAAUUAAUUUGAAACGUGGAACUAUUCAUCUUUAAAUAGUUAAAUAAUGUGCACCUCGGCCACUAUUCAUUUUUUUGUAAUUUUUGUUAUUUAAAUACCUGCAGUGCUAGUUCACACUUUUUUUGUAAAUGUUGUUAUUUAAAUACCUGCGGUGUUCGCUCACAUCUUAUUCUUAUUUUUUGCACAGGUGAAGUACAAAGCCAAGUGUGAAGCUAUGAAGCGUAUCAACAAAGAGUAGCAUAUGUAUUGUAAUAGUAGGC
rnacentral:lncRNA from 1 species